UGCCAGCCGCCGCGGUAAUACGAACCGGACGAACGUUAUUCGGAAUUACUGGGCUUAAAGAGUUCGUAGGCGGCGUGGAAAGUUGGGUGUGAAAUCCCUCGGCUCAACCGAGGAACUGCGCCCAAAACUUCUAUGCUCGAGGGAGACAGGGGUGAGCGGAACUGAUGGUGGAGCGGUGAAAUGCGUAGAUAUCAUCAGGAACACCGGUGGCGAAGGCGGCUCACUGGGUCUCUUCUGACGCUGAGGAACGAAAGCUAGGGUAGCGAACGGGAUUAGAUA
rnacentral:rRNA from 1 species